CUUGGGAUAAGGAUUGGCUCUGAGGACUGAGCCGGUCGGGCUGGGGACCUGAAGCAGGAACGGCACUGCACCGGGACUGGGCGGGGCUCGCCGUUCACGCGGCGCGGCCAAGCCCGGACCAGCGUCGGGACCUUCCUGUGGAAAGCCUCAGCUGCGCGGCGUCUGAGGGCUUCGUGCCCAAAGUGCUAUGCUUCGGCCGGCAAAAAACAGUCAACUCAGAACUGGCACGGACCGGGGGAAUCCGACUGUCUAAUUAAAACAAAGCAUUGCGAUGGCCGCUGGUCGGUGUUGACGCAAUGUGAUUUCUGCCCAGUGCUCUGAAUGUCAACGUGAAGAGAUUCAUCAAAGCGCGGGUAAACGGCGGGAGUAACUAUGACUCUCUUGUGGUAGCCAAAUGCCUCGUCAUCUAAUUAGUGACGCGCAUGAAUGGAUUAACGAGAUUCCCACAGUGGGUACUUUUAGUACCACUGGUUUUCCCGGGCCGUUCCACUGGCUGUACAAUACAAUAGUUGGUUUAAUUUAUAACCCCUUAAUUCCAAUUGGCUUUUUCCUGAAAUUUUCACUUGAUCACAUGAUCCUAUUCAUUUUUAUUGGAAUUGGGUUAAGCCUGCGGUGCGAAAGCGGGAGCGGGCAGGGGACAAGUUUUUCUUAAAUUUUUUACAAGAGCCCCGACUCAAAAUCUGUCCCUAUCUACUAUCUAGCGAAACCACAGCCAAGGGAACGGGCUUGGAAAAAUCAGCGGGGAAAGAAGACCCUGUUGAGCUUGACUCUAGUCUGACUCUGUGAAGAGACAUGAGAGGUGUAGCAUAAGUGGGAGGCCGUGAACCCUCGCGUUGUGUCGUGCCGUCAGUGAAAUACACUACUUCAUCGUUCUUACUUACUCG
rnacentral:ncRNA from 1 species